rnacentral:rRNA from 1 species
CACGUAGGGCGCAAGCGUUUGUCCGGAAUUAUUGGGCGUAAAGAGCUCGUAGGCGGUCUGUUGCGUCCGCUGUGAAAACUCGGGGCUUAACCCCGAGCCUGCAGUGGAUACGGGCAGACUAGAGGUAGGUAGGGGAGAAUGGAAUUCCCGGUGUAGCGGUGAAAUGCGCAGAUAUCGGGAGGAACACCGGUGGCGAAGGCGGUUCUCUGGGCCUUCCUGACGCUAGGAGCG